rnacentral:rRNA from 1 species
GUGGGGAAUAUUAGGCAAUGGGCGAAAGCCUGACCUAGCAACGCCGCGUGAAGGAAGAAGGCCUUCGGGUUGUAAACUUCUUUUAUGAGGGACGAAGGACGUGACGGUACCUCAUGAAUAAGCCACGGCUAACUACGUGCCAGCAGCCGCGGUAAUACGUAGGUGGCGAGCGUUGUCCGGAUUUACUGGGUGUAAAGGGCGCGUAGGCGGACUGGCAAGUCAGAUGUGAAAUACAGGGGCUCAACCCCUGAACUGCAUUUGAAACUGUUGGUCUUGAGUAUCGGAGAGGCAAGCGGAAUUCCUAGUGUAGCGGUGAAAUGCGUAGAUAUUAGGAGGAACACCAGUGGCGAAGGCGGCUUGCUGGACGACAACUGACGCUGAGGCGCGAAAGCGUGGGGAGCAAACAGGAUUAGAAACCCGGGUAGUCC